UAAAAAUCAAGAUUUUUGUCGGAUGUGUAUUUUAAUUGGUAUUCCGGAUCCCGAUAAAUUAACACCAUGUUAAAAUUGACAUAUUUUUAUCGGAUCCGUUUAAAUUUUCGGAAGACUUCGUUAAUUUGGUUUAAACGAACUACCCAGUGUGUUUCGUGGCCUAUUUUAGGUUAAAGAUGCCUUGACUUUACUAUCAUAAAUUCAAAUUUUGUUGGAAUUGAGCUUCUUAAACAUAAAAUCUGGUAUAGAUAAAUUAUAAUAUAAAAUUAAGAAGCAGACGGAGACGGACCGAGACCAAGUGGUACGUGCUCAACGGUGAUCACAAUUUGUGAGGUUAGGAGUGCAAUUAGUGAAUCAAAACAUUCAAAACAAAUCCAAGUUUAUUCUGGAUUUUUGGAUAAUUUAUAAUUUGGCAUCAAUUACCAUAUUUAACUACAGGAAGCCACUUAUAAGAAUAUAAGAAAUUAACUCCACGGUUAUGAAAUUUUAUCAUCCGAUUUGAUGUUCAUAUUGAACAACACAUAAUAGUUAUAUAUGUGAUUGCUUUUCUGAAAUUAGCUGAAAAUGAUACGUUUCCAAAAAAAUCCAGUGUCUUGAGGAAGAAGUGUUACUUUUUAUUAAAAACGCACCAAAUGAUAACUUUUUAUUACUUGCAUAAAGUUGCUUCAGUAAUGAGUGCUUUUUGUGGUUUAAUGCGGGAGGAACUGGCCAAGCUGCGCAUCAACAACAUUGAAGACAGAUGAUUUGUUUCAGUGGUCGAAAUAGCAGACUGGUGCCUCGAAAAGCUUCACAAUCAUAAAAGAGGACAGUAUAGGAGCGUCAAAUUUAGUUAAGUAAUUGAAAAUUGUAUUUUUUACUUGGGAAAUGAUAAUAGAAAUUAUUUUCGUUAUAUUUUUAAGUAGGUAUGAAAUGUUUGUAAAUUGUUAAUUAAAAUAAUUUUUUUUUCCAAA